rnacentral:rRNA from 1 species
AAGAAUAAGGAUCGGCUAACUCCGUGCCAGCAGCCGCGGUAAUACGGAGGAUCCGAGCGUUAUCCGGAUUUAUUGGGUUUAAAGGGUGCGCAGGCGGGUAUAUAAGUCAGAGGUGAAAUUCCACGGCUCAACUGUGGGACUGCCUUUGAUACUGCAUAUCUAGAGUAUAUUUGGAGUGGGCGGAAUGUAGCAUGUAGCGGUGAAAUGCUUAGAUAUGCUACAGAACACCGAUCGUGAAGACAGCUCACUAAGCUAUAACUGACGCUCAGGCACGAAAGCAUGGGGAGCAAACAGGAUUAGAUACCCUGGUAGUCCAUGCCGUAAACGAUGAUUACUCGCUGUUAGCGAUACACAGUUAGCGGCUAAGCGAAAGUGAUAAGUAAUCCACCUGGGGAAUACGAUCGCAAGAUUGAAACUCAAAGGAAUUGACGGGGGCCCGCACAAGCGGAGGAGCAUGUGGUUUAAUUCGAUGAUACGCGAGGAACCUUACCUGGGCUCGAACGUAGUGUGACUAAGUGUGAAAGCAUUUAUUUCUUCGGAACAGACUACGAGGUGCUGCAUGGUUGUCGUCAGCUCGUGCCGUGAGGUGUUAGGUUAAGUCCUGCAACGAGCGCAACCCCUAUUCUUAGUUGCCAGCAUGUCAUGAUGGGGACUCUAAGAAAACUGCCUACGCAAGUAGUGAGGAAGGCGGGGAUGACGUCAAAUCAGCACGGCCCUUACGUCCAGGGCUACACACGUGCUACAAUGGCCGGUACAGAGGGCAGCUACAUAGCGAUAUGAUGCGAAUCUCGAAAGCCGGUCUCAGUUCGGAUUGGAGUCUGCAACUCGACUCCAUGAAGUUGGAUUCGCUAGUAAUCGCAUAUCAGCCAUGAUGCGGUGAAUACGUUCCCGGGCCUUGUACACACCGCCCGUCAAGCCAUGGAAGCUGGGGGUACCUGAAGUACGUAACCGCAAGGAGCGUCCUAGGGUAAAACCGGUAACUGGGGCUAAGUCGUAACAAGGUAGCCGUACCGGAAGGUGUGGCUG